rnacentral:rRNA from 1 species
AGUGAACGCUGGCGGUAGGCCUAACACAUGCAAGUCGAACGGCAGCACAGUAAGAGCUUGCUCUUACGGGUGGCGAGUGGCGGACGGGUGAGGAAUACAUCGGAAUCUACUUUUUCGUGGGGGAUAACGCAGGGACACUUACGCUAAUACCGCAUACGACCUACGGGUGAAAGCAUGGGAUCUUCGGACCUCGCGCGAUUGAAUGAGCCGAGGUCGGAUUAGCUAGUUGGCGGGGUAAAGGCCCACCAAGGCGACGAUCCGUAGCUGGUCUGAGAGGAUGAUCAGCCACACUGGAACUGAGACACGGUCCAGACUCCUACGGGAGGCAGCAGUGGGGAAUAUUGGACAAUGGGCGCAAGCCUGAUCCAGCCAUACCGCGUGGGUGAAGAAGGCCUUCGGGUUGUAAAGCCCUUUUGGUGGGAAAGAAAAGCAGCAGGUUAAUACCCCGCUGUUCUGACGGUACCCAAAGAAUAAGCACCGGCUAACUUCGUG